rnacentral:rRNA from 1 species
UACGGUCGCAAGAUUAAAACUCAAAGGAAUAGACGGGGACCCGCACAAGCGGUGGAGCAUGUGGUUUAAUUCGAAGAUACGCGAAGAACCUUACCUGGGCUUGAUAUCCUAAGAACCUUUUAGAGAUAAGAGGGUGCUAGCUUGCUAGAACUUAGAGACAGGUGCUGCACGGCUGUCGUCAGCUCGUGUCGUGAGAUGUUGGGUUAAGUCCCGCAACGAGCGCAACCCACGUAUUUAGUUGCUAACGGUUCGGCCGAGCACUCUAAAUAGACUGCCUUCGUAAGGAGGAGGAAGGUGUGGACGACGUCAAGUCAUCAUGGCCCUUAUGCCCAGGGCGACACACGUGCUACAAUGGCAUAUACAAUGAGACGCAAUACCGCGAGGUGGAGCAAAUCUAUAAAAUAUGUCCCAGUUCGGAUUGUUCUCUGCAACUCGAGAGCAUGAAGCCGGAAUCGCUAGUAAUCGUAGAUCAGCCAUGCUACGGUGAAUACGUUCCCGGGUCUUGUACUCACCGCCCGUCACACCAUGGGAGUUGAUUUCACUCGAAGCCGGAAUACUAAACUAGUUACCGUCCACAGUGGAAUCAGCGACUGGGGUGAAGUCGUAACAAGGUAACCGUAGGAGAACCUGCGGUUGGAUCACCUCCUUU